GACGAACGCUGGCGGCGUGCUUAACACAUGCAAGUCGAACGGAAAGGCCUCUUUCGGGGGGUACUCGCGUGGCGAACGGGUGAGUAACACGUGAGUAUCCUGCCCUUGACUUUGGGAUAACUUCAGGAAACUGGGGCUCAUACCGGAUAUGAGAUCCUGCUGCAUGGGGGGGGGUGGAGAGUUUCGGCGGGUGGGGAUGGACUCGCGGGGUAUCAGCUUGUUGGUGGGGGAGUGGCUUACCAAGGGUUUGUCGGGUAGCCGGCCUGAGAGGGUGACCGGCCCCAUUGGGGCUGAGAUACGGCCCAGACUCCUACGGGGGGCAGCAGUGGGGAAUAUUGCACAAUGGGUGGGAGCCUGAUGCAGCCACGGCGUGGGCGGGAUGACGGCCUUCGGGUUGUAAACCGCUUUCGCUCAUGACGAAGCUUUGUGUGACGGUAGUGGGUAAAGAAGCACCGGCUAACUACGUG
rnacentral:rRNA from 1 species